AGGGAAUCUUCCGCAAUGGGCGAAAGCCUGACGGAGCAACGCCGCGUGAGUGAUGAAGGUCUUCGGAUCGUAAAACUCUGUUAUUAGGGAAGAACAUAUGUGUAAGUAACUGUGCACAUCUUGACGGUACCUAAUCAGAAAGCCACGGCUAACUACGUGCCAGCAGCCGCGGUAAUACGUAGGUGGCAAGCGUUAUCCGGAAUUAUUGGGCGUAAAGCGCGCGUAGGCGGUUUUUUAAGUCUGAUGUGAAAGCCCGCGGCUCAACCGUGGAGGGUCAUUGGAAACUGGAAAACUUGAGUGCAGAAGAGGAAAGUGGAAUUCCAUGUGUAGCGGUGAAAUGCGCAGAGAUAUGGAGGAACACCAGUGGCGAAGGCGACUUUCUGGUCUGUAACUGACGCUGAUGUGCGAAAGCGUGGGGAUCAAACAGGAUUAGAUACCCUGGUAGUCCACGCCGUAAACGAUGAGUGCUAAGUGUUAGGGGGUUUCCGCCCCUUAGUGCUGCAGCUAACGCAUUAAGCACUCCGCCUGGGGAGUACGACCGCAAGGUUG
rnacentral:rRNA from 1 species